rnacentral:rRNA from 1 species
ACUCAAAGGAAUUGACGGGGGCCCGCACAAGCGGCGGAGCAUGCGGAUUAAUUCGAUGCAACGCGAAGAACCUUACCAAGGCUUGACAUAUACCGGAAACUUCCAGAGAUGGUUGCCCCCUUUGGGUCGGUAUACAGGUGGUGCAUGGUUGUCGUCAGCUCGUGUCGUGAGAUGUUGGGUUAAGUCCCGCAACGAGCGCAACCCUCGUUCUAUGUUGCCAGCACGUAAUGGUGGGGACUCAUGGAAGACUGCCGGGGUCAACUCGGAGGAAGGUGGGGAUGACGUCAAAUCAUCAUGCCCCUUAUGUCUUGGGCUUCACGCAUGCUACAAUGGCCGGUACAAAGGGCUGCGAUACCGCAAGGUGGAGCGAAUCCCAAAAAACCGGUCUCAGUUCGGAUUGGGGUCUGCAACUCGACCCCAUGAAGUCGGAGUCGCUAGUAAUCGCAGAUCAGCAACGCUGCGGUGAAUACGUUCCCGGGCCUUGCACACACCGCCCGU